UGGCUGACAUUGCACACACAUUACGGUACACGAUUGCCGUAAUCCAGUUUGCAAUCAACAAUCAUUGCCAAUAGAAGUUCACUGAGAAUUGUAUUGCAUAUUGAUAACGAGCCAUUGCUGCAUCAUUAUUUGCGCAUUGUGUACGAUGUUUUCCACCGCAGACGCAGAAUGUUUCCAUUUUCUGAAGAUAUCAGUAGUGUGUAGACGCUGCAGGCAUUUUGAAAAUACCAAUGUCCAUGGUGGACUGUUAUGUUAGGAUUUGGUCACCAAAAAAUAGGGAGCAACAGUGUUUUCAUCACUUAUUUUCAAUGUUGAAGUUAUUUUCAAGCAUUUCAAAAUAGGGCUACGAAUUUUCCACGAAAAAUGUACUGUUUUUAGAUAAUUUUACGAUGAAAUUUUCAAUUAUAUUGUUUGAAGAAUAAGAACCAACAUUCAACGAGCAUUUACACCAUUUUUUUUUAAUCUAUAAGCUUUAUUUUUGCUACAAAUUAUUUAUUCAAUGAAAUGUUUGUUGAGUUCCUGACACUUUCACCCGCGAAUAUGUCGAAAAGUUCAUGGAAAAAAAAUUGCCUAGAAUCAGUCAAUCUAUCAAUUUCCUGACUUAUUUUCAACGAACCAUUUUUGAUUCUUGGUACAGAGUAAACUUAAAAGUGGAAGUUGAUUAAAAUUUUUAUGCUAAUCGA